rnacentral:lncRNA from 1 species
GAAAAUCAAUAUCGGCUUUAUUUUGGUUUCUUUUUCACUCUGUGACUAGCCUGCCACAGGUAGGUCAUGCCACCCUUCCUACCCACUUCUAAAAUAUAAAUAUAUAUAUACCUUCCCUCAGCAAUUGACAAAAUGAAGACUUCAAAUGGUGACCUGGCAAUUCCUCCAAGAUGAUAAACAUCAGUUGGAAACGCGCUCUCUUACAAGCGAAGGGUGCUGGACUGAAGGCUUUGUCAUGGGAACACUUUUACUGAAAAUGACCACCAACACUCUGCUGUGGCUGAUGAAACUGCUCUUCUCACCUGUUUCACCUUGAUGGGCCUGAUAUCCUACCUCUGUCAGAGCUAGUUAGUUGACUUUGUAUGGGAGAAGACAGCUUGGCUUUGAUUACAGAUUUUGAAUCUAUGCAGAUCAAUUUAAGCUUUUGAGCUUCUUCUGUGAGGAAUUAAAACUUAUGCUGUGUAAUAUUGUACUGAAUUUUGGAAAACCUACUCAUUUACUGUCAUCUUUUCAGUCUUGAAUAAAAUAGAUUACUG